UACCAGCACCCCGAGUGGUCGGGACGUUUAUUGGGCCUAAAGCAUCCGUAGCCGGUUCUACAAGUCUUCCGUUAAAUCCACCUGCUUAACAGAUGGGCUGCGGAAGAUACUAUAGAGCUAGGAGGCGGGAGAGGCAAGCGGUACUCGAUGGGUAGGGGUAAAAUCCGUUGAUCCAUUGAAGACCACCAGUGGCGAAGGCGGCUUGCCAGAACGCACUCGACGGUGAGGGAUGAAAGCUGGGGGAGCAAACCGGG
rnacentral:rRNA from 1 species